GAUGAACGCUGGCGGCGUGCCUAAUACAUGCAAGUCGAGCGAACAGACGCGGCGCUUGCUCCUCUGACGUUAGCGGCGGACGGGUGAGUAACACGUGGAUAAACUACCUAUAAGACUGGGAUAACUUCGGGAAACCGGAGCUAAUACCGUAUAAUAUAUUGAACCGCAUGGUUCAAUAGUGAAAGACGGUUUUGCUGUCGCUUAUAGAUGGAUCCGCGCCGUAUUAGCUAGUUGGUAGGGUAACGGCUUACCAAGGCAACGAUGCGUAGCCGACCGGUGAGAGUGAUCGCCGACACGGGAACUGGAACGCGGACCAUGCUCCUACGGUAGGCAGCAGUAGGGAACGUGCCGCAGUGGGCGAAAGCCUGACGGAGCAGCGCGGAGUGAGUGAUAAAGGUGUUCCGAUCGUAAAACCCGCUUAUUAGUGAAAAACAAAUGUGGAAUGAACUAAACACGUCGUGACGGUACCUGAUCAGAAAGCAACGGCUAACUACGUG
rnacentral:rRNA from 1 species